UACGGGGGGGGCAAGCGUUGUUCGGAAUUACUGGGCGUAAAGGGCUCGUAGGCGGCCAACUAAGUCGGAUGUGAAAUCCCCAGGCUUAACCUGGGAACUGCAUCCGAUACUGGAUGGCUUGAAUCCGGGAGAGGGAUGCAGGAAUUCCAGGUGUAGCGGUGAAAUGCGUAGAUAUCUGGAGGAAUACCGGUGGCGAAGGCGGCAUCCUGGACCGGCAUUGACGCUGAUGAGCGAAAAGCUAGGGGAGCAAACGGGGAUUAAGAAACCCC
rnacentral:rRNA from 1 species